ACUGUAAUCCUCGUCUGUCUCAGGAAUUUUAGUGGGAAACCAAAGAUGAUUUUAGCUUUUCGUGAACCGUAGAAUAAAAAAAGGGCUGAUUUUAACUUUUAAAGUAAUCAGAACAAGCCGUGACGUCGUUACAGAGGCUCAGGAGGAAAUACUGAUAUUAUUUAUUGGCCAGUUAAUUAUUUAGAAAUCUAUUUUUGAUACUCUGGAUCUGAUCCGGUUAA